CCCUUAGAUGUUCUGGGCCGCACGCGCGUUACACUGAUGCAUUCAACGAGUUCUUCCUUGGCCGAGAGGCCUGGGCAAUCUUUUGAACGUGCAUCGUGAUAGGGAUAGAUUAUUGCAAUUAUUAAUCUUGAACGAGGAAUUCCUAGUAAACGCAGUUCAUCAAACUGCAUUGAUUACGUCCCUGCCCUUUGUACACACCGCCCGUCGCACCUACCGAUUGAAUGGUCCGGUGAAGCCUCCGGAUUGGCGCGCACCUCGGUGCCGCCGAGAAGUUGGCUAAACCUUACCAUUUAGAGGAAGGUGAANUCGUANCA
rnacentral:rRNA from 1 species